UCCCAGCCAGGACUCACUGUGACCUUUGAGUGCAACAUGGGUCCGGGGUUGAGCAUGGUCAGCUACACCAUGUUAUGGUAUCGACAAACCCACUACGGAGCUCCACUGGAGUUCCUCACCAAAGAGUACGACCAAACCAUGGGGCACUUCCAGUCGACUAUGGACAAGUCCAACACCAAGUUCUCUCUUCAAGUAGCUGAGCUGCUGCUGAAUGACAGCAGCACCUACUACUGUGCUGCCAACAUUCAGUGUGACACUGGAACUGAAGCUUACUUUGGAAAGGGAACAAAACUCACUGUUUUGGAAACAGGACUUGAAACCACCGCACCAACAGUCAAAGUGCUUCCACCUUCAACAAAGGAGUGUCAAAACCAGAAGGACGACCAGAAGAAGAAGACCAUUGUUUGUGUGGCCAGUGGAUUCUACCCUGAUCAUGUCGGUGUGGUCUGGAAGAUCAGCGGGGAGAUUGUCACCACCGGUGUGGCGACCGACAACGCUGCCCUCCGAGAAGGCAAGCAUUACACAAUCACCAGCAGGCUGAGGGUCACUGCCAAAGAAUGGUUCACAAACGACCUAAAGUUCACCUGCACCGUCAGCUUCUUCAACGGGACACAUACUGAACUUUAUGAAGGAUCAAUUCAUGGGGUAGAAGAGAAAUAUCUGAGGAUCACACAGAGCGCCAAACUCACCUACGGUGUUUUCAUCGUCAAGAGCAGCAUCUAUGGAGCCUUUGUGGCGUUUUUGGUGUGGAAGCUUCAGAGUUCAGCUGGGAAGCGGAACGACUGAGAGCUGAGCUGAAGCCUGAACAGACCAUCUUUAUCUCGGUUUCUGUAAAUAGAGUUCAUAGUUUCCACAGCUUUGUGUGUCACAGCGUAUUUGCAUUCAUAUAUAAAUGAGCCAAUCAAAUGACAUCAGAGGGAUUUAUUCCUAUUGCAAUAUUAAAUCUAUUGCUGGCAUGGAAGUAUAUUAGAUGUAAACUAUUUUAAAAACACGCCUACUGUACGUCUGUGCUUGUGAAUUAUUUCAUGAUUGAUUUUCUUCUCAAUAAAAGUAGAUCACAUGAUCUAACAGAUUGAA